rnacentral:rRNA from 1 species
ACGAACGCUGGCGGCGUGGAUAAGACAUGCAAGUCGAACGAGAGAAUUGCUAGCUUGCUAAUAAUUCUCUAGUGGCGCACGGGUGAGUAACACGUGAGUAACCUGCCCCCGAGAGCGGGAUAGCCCUGGGAAACUGGGAUUAAUACCGCAUAGUAUCGAAAGAUUAAAGCAGCAAUGCGCUUGGGGAUGGGCUCGCGGCCUAUUAGUUAGUUGGUGAGGUAACGGCUCACCAAGGCGAUGACGGGUAGCCGGUCUGAGAGGAUGUCCGGCCACACUGGAACUGAGACACGGUCCAGACACCUACGGGUGGCAGCAGUCGAGAAUCAUUCACAAUGGGGGAAACCCUGAUGGUGCGACGCCGCGUGGGGGAAUGAAGGUCUUCGGAUUGUAAACCCCUGUCAUGUGGGAGCAAAUUAAAAAGAUAGUACCACAAGAGGAAGAGACGGCUAACUCUGUGCCAGCAGCCGCGGUAAUACAGAGGUCUCAAGCGUUGUUCGGAAUCACUGGGCGUAAAGCGUGCGUAGGCUGUUUCGUAAGUCGUGUGUGAAAGGCGCGGGCUCAACCCGCGGACGGCACAUGAUACUGCGAGACUAGAGUAAUGGAGGGGGAACCGGAAUUCUCGGUGUAGCAGUGAAAUGCGUAGAUAUCGAGAGGAACACUCGUGGCGAAGGCGGGUUCCUGGACAUUAAUUGACGCUGAGGCACGAAGGCCAGGGGAGCGAAAGGGAUUAGAUACCCCUGUAGUCCUGGCAGUAAACGGUGCACGCUUGGUGUGCGGGGAAUCGACCCCCUGCGUGCCGGAGCUAACGCGUUAAGCGUGCCGCCUGGGGAGUACGGUCGCAAGAUUAAAACUCAAAGAAAUUGACGGGGACCCGCACAAGCGGUGGAGUAUGUGGCUUAAUUCGAUGCAACGCGAAGAACCUUACCUGGGCUUGACAUGUAAUGAACAACAUGUGAAAGCAUGCGACUCUUCGGAGGCGUUACACAGGUGCUGCAUGGCCGUCGUCAGCUCGUGUCGUGAGAUGUUUGGUUAAGUCCAGCAACGAGCGCAACCCCUGUUGCCAGUUACCAGCACGUGAAGGUGGGGACUCUGGCGAGACUGCCCAGAUCAACUGGGAGGAAGGUGGGGACGACGUCAGGUCAGUAUGGCCCUUAUGCCCAGGGCUGCACACGUACUACAAUGCCCAGUACAGAGGGGGCCGAAGCCGCGAGGCGGAGGAAAUCCUAAAAACUGGGCCCAGUUCGGACUGUAGGCUGCAACCCGCCUACACGAAGCCGGAAUCGCUAGUAAUGGCGCAUCAGCUACGGCGCCGUGAAUACGUUCCCGGGUCUUGUACACACCGCCCGUCACAUCAUGGAAGCCGGUCGCACCCGAAGUAUCUGAAGCCAACCGCAAGGAGGCAGGGUCCUAAGGUGAGACUGGUAACUGGGAUG